AGAGGCACGGAGGACGUGGCUGGGCGCCCCGGGCACGAGCAGGACCCGAGGCCAGGGGCCAGGGGCCCAGAAGAACCUGGAUGCUCCUAAGGACCCCCCAGGAAAGCACCGGCUUCUUCUUGACAACUUCCCUGGGUGACUCUUAGAACUCAAUGGCCACGUCCAGCUCAGAGAUCAGAAGCAGCGCGCGUCCCAGAGCGCUACCAUAAUGAUGCCGUCCAGGUCCACAGUACAACCGGCUGCCUUGGUCAUUGCCGUAAUGACAGUACAUUCCAACUUCUCAAGGUGGUCAGGAAGUGGAACCAAGCAGGAAGUUCUGCAUGCCUAUGGCUUCCCUGUGGAGGGACCUCAAGAAGCCACAACAUCCAGCUCUACGCCAAGACUGACUGACGGCCUUUGGGGUGAGGUAGUAGGUUGUAUGGUUUUGGGCUCUGCCCCGCUCUGCGGUAACUAUACAAUCUACUGUCUUUCCUGAAGUGGCCGCAAUAUCUGCAGUGGAUACAACGGCGGCCCUGGCUGGGGAGACUGAGGGAGGGACAGGGGGGUGAUAACUACCAUGCAAAAAGAGCCUGACAGAGACCUUGGAUAGUCCCUUGACCUCUCUGGGCUGUUACUCAUCUGUAUAAGGGUUGGGGCAUAGCGAUGAAAACAGACAGCAUUUUCAGGGCACCUUCUCUCCCUGGCCCACACUGAAGGGGCCUUCCUGCCCCUGGCCCCAUAUCAGACCUGUGCUCACAGGUCUCCAUGAAAAGAGGGUCUGGACUAGACCUUCAACUAUGUUCCAGAGUUGCCCAGGCUUUCCAGCGCAGGGUCAGGCCUCUGACGAGCAAGCGUCUCUUCCGAGAAGAAAUUGAAAAGGAGCCAUUCUUAGCACACCCAUGAGUACAGCCUGCAGAUGGACCGUGUAGGCCACUGUCCCCUGUCCCUGGGGCAAUGGGUUCAGACACCAGAGGCUUCCUCAAUCUGUUUGGUAGGCACAGGCCUUUCUCACUGAACCUCUGUCUCCACUUCCCCCUCCCCCACCCCGCCCUGUGCCCUAUGGCUCUAGUGGCCUGUGGCCAGGGUGGGUGGGGAGCGGCUGGGCCUCCUCCAGAACACGGACACCGCAGGGUGAGGUAGUAGGUUGUGUGGUUUCAGGGCAGUGAUGUUGCCCCUCCGAAGAUAACUAUACAACCUACUGCCUUCCCUGAGGCGCCCAGGGACACAGCUACAUGGAGGCCCCCGCUCAGCAAGCUAAAUGGAGCCACAGAUUGGGUGGGGGCUAUGACGUGGGACCUGGGUAUAAAUAAAGGAUGUUCUGUCAU
rnacentral:lncRNA from 1 species